rnacentral:tRNA from 1 species
UCCUUAGUAGCUCAGUGGUAGAGCGGUCGGCUGUUAACCGAUAGGUCGUUGGUUCGACCCCAACCUGAGGAG